rnacentral:rRNA from 1 species
AAUGAACGCUGGCGGCGUGGAUUAGGCAUGCAAGUCGAACGAUCUCUUUCUUCGGAGGGGGAUAGUGGCGAACGGGUGAGUAACGAGUGGGUAAUCUGCCCUUAGGAUUGGGAUAACGUGCCGAAAGGUGCGCUAAUACCGAAUAAGACCACAGUUCCAUGUGAACUGCGGUUAAAGAUGGGGAUUCUGAAAACGAACCUGUCACCUUUGGAUGAGCCCGCUUACUAUCAGCUUGUUGGUGGGGUAAAAGCCUACCAAGGCUAUGACGGUUAGCUGGUCUGAGAGGAUGGUCAGCCACACUGGGACUGAGACACUGCCCAGACUCCUACGGGAGGCUGCAGUCGAGAAUCUUUUGCAAUGCCCGAAAGGGUGACAAUGCGACGCCGCGUGAGCGAUGAAGGCCUUCGGGUCGUAAAGCUCUGUCAGCGGGGAUGAAGGCAAUUAGGAUAAUAUACUAAUUGAUUGACGGUACCCGCAGAGGAAGCCACGGCUAACUCCGU